rnacentral:tRNA from 1 species
AUUUUCAGCCUGAUACAGAUUAAAUCAGAACGCAGAAGCGGUCUGAUAAAACAGAAUUUGCCUGGCGGCAGUAGCGCGGUGGUCCCACCUGACCCCAUGCCGAACUCAGAAGUGAAACGCCGUAGCGCCGAUGGUAGUGUGGGGUCUCCCCAUGCGAGAGUAGGGAACUGCCAGGCAUCAAAUUUAGCGUGCUGAUAUGGCUCAGUUGGUAGAGCGCACCCUUGGUAAGGGUGAGGUCCCCAGUUCGACUCUGGGUAUCAGCACCACUUUUUAGGUUAAAGUUCGGCAGAUUAGAAAAGAAUUUGUCUGGCGGCAGUAGCGCGGUGGUCCCACCUGACCCCAUGCCGAACUCAGAAGUGAAACGCCGUAGCGCCGAUGGUAGUGUGGGGUCUCCCCAUGCGAGAGUAGGGAACUGCCAGGCAUCAAAUUUAGCGUGCUGAUAUGGCUCAGUUGGUAGAGCGCACCCUUGGUAAGGGUGAGGUCCCCAGUUCGACUCUGGGUAUCAGCACCACUUUUUAGGUUAAAGUUCGGCAGAUUAGAAAAGAAUUUGUCUGGCGGCAGUAGCGCGGUGGUCCCACCU